rnacentral:rRNA from 1 species
UACGAGGGUGGCAAGCGUUGUUCGGAAUUAUUGGGCGUAAAGGGCGCGUAGGCGGUUUGACAAGUCUGAUGUGAAAUCUAUGGGCUCAACCCAUAGCCUGCAUUAGAAACUGUCGGGCUUGAGUAUGGGAGAGGUGAGUGGAAUUUCCGGUGUAGCGGUGAAAUGCGUAGAUAUCGGAAGGAACACCUGUGGCGAAAGCGGCUCACUGGACCAUAACUGACGCUGAGGCGCGAAAGCUAGGGGAGCAAACAGG